UUUUCCUCAAUCUCACUCAUCUCGCGUUCUCACUCCCCACCGGCCACCACUGCACCUCCCAGCCGUCAUCAACCUUGGAGGUGCGCUGACCUUCUCUUCCAGAACUGCAUCGUCGGACCUUCUCUCAUACACCACCUUGGAGGUACGCCGCCAACCAAUGUUCUCCACACCACCGCACCAUCAAUCUACUUCCACUCUCAUUUUCACACUCGUUCUUCCAAUGAUGUUCCUCUCCAAUAGUUUGUCGCCCUAAACUGUUCUGCCACCAUACAUCUCCUAAAUUUACUGAAAGCAUGUAUUGUUUCAUCUCUGUCGAUUCAAAUAUUAACUCAACUGGACCACCUAAAUUGAGACAGAGUCCAAUUAACAUUUGUGGUUAUUUAUUUUGCAUUGCUUGGCCUAGUAGUAGUUAGUUAGUUAAAAACAACUUCUGGCCCCCAAAAUCCAGACAGGUGCAAAUAUACCCUUCUCACUAUCAAAACCUAUGCAUUCUAAAAGAUAUGCUACUAUUGAUCACAAUGACACUAUGAGGUACACCACUCCCAAUAGAUUAACAAACUUGUAGUGCACCAUGUGCCUCAAAUCGUAAAAAACCACUUUUAAACCAAAUUAAAUUUAAUUUAGCUCUUUUUCCACUUCCAUCAUGAUGUUUUGUUUUUCUCUGUGUCAAUACCGCGUAAAAUUCGUAAUCAUGAUGCCUAAUAAUAGGCACACUACCGCAUUAAUUGGCCUAGGGAAAACCUAUAACCGUCACUUCCAUCAACUCUUUUUCCACGUUUACUAGCUCAAUGAAUUUGAUAUAGGUCAAUGAGAAAAUCCCUAACCCCGCCGAAUCCUCCGCCGUCGAAGAACAAUCCCUCCACUGAAUCCGUUCGCCAUUGAAGAAUAAUCUCACAACGCAUCUCUCCUCAAUCCCUCCUCCGUUGAAGAACAAUCCCUCUGCCAUUCUCCUUCAAUCACUCCGCCGUUCUCCACGGUUCCAUGGUAUCUAUUCUAUCCCUUCUCUCUGGGAAUCGAAGAAGCCCCUUUGGUUUUAUAUAUCAUUUUUUAAUUUCACUGUUUGGAUUUCUGAUCAAUGGUGCCAAUGUCAAAACUGCAAAAGCAAUUGCUGUUGAAUGUGGAAUACUUGGUUCACUUGCUGAUGCUACCAAGAGAAGUGUCAUUGAAGGAAAAGACAUUUCGAGCCUUGUCUAAUUCAGAGAGAGAAGAAAUUGCGGACUCGAUAUCUGUUAUGGGAAUGUCAUAUCCAAUGACAAACUAUUGUUAGUAGAAGCAUUAAGGAGGAAGGGUCAUGUUGUGGAUGUAACUAGGGAUGGAAUGAAUGAUGUUAUUGCACUUCCCGAGUUUCAGCUGAUAGUCAAUAUGGCAGCUCUUGUUAUAAAUGUUGUUGCUGCAGUUUCCUCUGGGGAUGUUCCACUGAAUGUAGUGCAGCUUCUCUGGGUGAAUCUUAUCAUGGAUACUCUGGGAGCACUAACCUUGGCAACUGAUCACCUGAUGGAUCAAUCUAAUGUGGGUCGUAGGUAUUGAAUUAUUGUCAUUCACAAGGAAUUAUGCAUCGGGAUGAAAAGUCCCAUAAUAUAUAAUGAUUGUCCAUGGUUUGGAGCUUAUUGUUGAGUCUUGGUUGUAUGUUUUCCAAAUGGUUGUUACUGAUGAUAUGGAAGUGCAUAAAAGUACAAGUGUCGAAUAUGGUACUCUAUGCAACCUUCAACUUGUAAAAGGGAUGCUUCAUAACGAAAGAAUUUAUGUUUACAGCUCUUUUAUCUUACAAAUUAUGUUUGGAUAGUUUUUUGGUGUAGACUUUACUUUCGAUUUGUUAGACAUACACUUGGUUUGUUUUUUCUAGUGUUAUUGUUGUAUGACAUAAUGUUGUCACUAUUUUACGAUUUUCAAUUCACACUACGUUUAAUUUGUUUGUGGGUUGAGAUAUUGUGUUUGUCACUUUGUAUGACUAUUGAUUAUAUGGAUCUAUGUAUGUUUGGGA